CGAGGUAUAGCUAAACGACUCAUAGCGUCUCCCCUACACUGAGAAGGCAUCCGUGAAAACCGGGUUACCUCGA
rnacentral:tRNA from 1 species